rnacentral:rRNA from 1 species
GCCCAGUGAUAAUUUAUUUAACGGCCGCAGUAAUUUGACUGUGCUAAGGUAGCAUAAUCAUUAGUUUUUUAAUUGAAAACUGGAAUGAAGGGUUUGAUGAAAAAAAUACUGUCUCUUAAUAAAUUAUUUGAAUUUAACUUUUGAGUUAAAAGGCUUAAAUUUAAUUAAAAGACGAGAAGACCCUUUAGAGUUUAAUAAUUUUUUAUUAUAAUUUUUUAUGGUAUUAAAUUUUUUAUUUUAAAAACUUAUUUGAUUGGGGUGAUUAUUAAAUACAAAUAACUUUAAUUUUUUUAUACAUUAAUUAAUGAAUAUUUGAUCCAUUAAAUUGAUUAAUAGAUAAAAUUACCUAAGGGAUAACAGCGUAAUUUUUUUGAAGAGUUCUUAUCGAUAAAAAAGAUUGCGACCUCAAUGUUGGAUUAAAAUUAACAAUUUGGUGUAGAAGCUAAUUAGUUUGGNNUGUUCGACCAUUAAAAUUUUACA